rnacentral:lncRNA from 1 species
AUUCCAUUGGCAGUGUUUCAUUUACAUUUAACACAAGCCAUAAUGGAGUCAUGUGCCAGUUCACCUCAGGACAUGAUGGGCACUAAGACAAAACUAUUGGAAAAGGGAGAAGUUACUCAGAUGAAGCUGAGCACAGAGCAGUGGAUUUCUGACACUAAGUAAGUGAAACUGAUUGCUAUGUAAGCCUUUGGCUGCCAACUGCUUCAUUUGAAAAGGCUCGUACUAAAACAAUCAAGAACUGCAAAGACCCCGUCUGGAAUGAAACCUUCUAUUACAGGAUUCAGAGUCAGGUCAAGAAUGUGUUGGAGCUGGCUAUCUAUGAUGACGAUGUUGUUACUCAAGAUGACCAUCUCUUCACUGUGCGCUUCGAUGUGGCCAAACUUCCAUUUGGAGAACCAGUCCUCAUGUACUUUAAGCUGGACAACCAGGUGAGUCGAAAUAACAGAAGGUUUGGGU